UCCAGACUCCUACGGGAGGCAGCAGUGGGGAAUAUUGGGCAAUGGAGGCAACUCUGACCCAGCCAUGCCGCGUGAGUGAAGAAGGUUUUCGGAUUGUAAAGCUCUUUCGGAUGUGACGAUGAUGACGGUAGCAUCUAAAGAAGCCCCGGCUAACUCCGUGCCAGCAGCCGCGGUAAUACGGAGGAUGCGAGCGUUAUCCGGAUUUAUUGGGUUUAAAGGGUGCGCAGGCGGAGGUGCAAGUCAGCGGUCAAAUUGCGGGGCUCAACCCCGUACUGCCGUUGAAACUGCAUCCCUUGAGUGCGCGAGAAGUAUGCGGAAUGCGUGGUGUAGCGGUGAAAUGCAUAGAUAUCACGCAGAACUCCGAUUGCGAAGGCAGCAUACCGGCGCGCAACUGACGCUCAUGCACGAAAGUGCGGGUAUCGAACAGGAUUAGAUACCCCCGUAGA
rnacentral:rRNA from 1 species